CAGUAGCCGCGGGAAUACGAAGGGGGCUAGUGUUGUUCGGAUUUACUGGGCGUAAAGCGCACGUAGGCGGACUUUUAAGUCAGGGGUGAAAUCCCGGGGCUCAACCCCGGAACUGCCUUUGAUACUGGAAGUCUUGAGUAUGGUAGAGGUGAGUGGAAUUCCGAGUGUAGAGGUGAAAUUCGUAGAUAUUCGGAGGAACACCAGUGGCGAAGGCGGCUCACUGGACCAUUACUGACGCUGAGGUGCGAAAGCGUGGGGAGCAAACAGGAUUAGAUACCCGCGUAGUCCCUGUCUCUUAUAC
rnacentral:rRNA from 1 species